rnacentral:rRNA from 1 species
GACGAACGCUGGCGGCGUGCUUAACACAUGCAAGUCGAACGGAAAGGCCCUGCUUUUGUGGGGUGCUCGAGUGGCGAACGGGUGAGUAACACGUGAGUAACCUGCCCUUGACUUUGGGAUAACUUCAGGAAACUGGGGCUAAUACCGGAUAGGAGCUCCUGCUGCAUGGUGGGGGUUGGAAAGUUUCGGCGGUUGGGGAUGGACUCGCGGCUUAUCAGCUUGUUGGUGGGGUAGUGGCUUACCAAGGCUUUGACGGGUAGCCGGCCUGAGAGGGUGACCGGCCACAUUGGGACUGAGGUACGGCCCAGACUCCUACGGGAGGCAGCAGUGGGGAAUAUUGCACAAUGGGCGGAAGCCUGAUGCAGCAACGCCGCGGGCGGGAUGACGGCCUUCUGGUUGUAAACCGCUUUCGCCUGUGACGAAGCGUGAGUGACGGUAAUGGGUAAAGAAGCAACGGCUAACUACGGG